rnacentral:rRNA from 1 species
AAUCAACGCUGGCGGCGUGCCUAACACAUGCAAGUCGAACGCGAAAGUUCCUUCGGGAAUGAGUAGAGUGGCGUCCGGGUGAGUAACGCGUGGGUAAUCUACCUUUGGGUGGGGAAUAAC